CUUCAUCCACCUGCUGUGGGCAGAUGAAAUGGAUGUGCGAAUCGAUGCCGCCGGCGGUGACGAUCUUGCCUUCGGCCGCAAUCACCUCGGUGCCGGGACCGAUUGGCAAGGUGACGCCUGGCUGCACGUCAGGGUUGCCGGCCUUGCCAAUGCCUGCAAUGCGGCCCUGCUUGAUGCCAAUGUCAGCUUUGACGAUGCCCCAGUGGUCGAUGAUCAGCGCAUUGGUAAGGACCAGAUCCAUGGCCUCGGCGGCGAGCAUCUGCCCUUGGCCCAUGCCGUCGCGGAU
rfam:Pseudomonas sp. TRMO17WK12:I11 isolate Yellow genome assembly, chromosome: 1